UCUGAAGAAAUGGAGAUAAAGUGAAAGCUGGAAAAAGAAAGAGGAAUACGGUUGUGACAGAAGAAGAAGGAGGAGCCACGUCUGAUUCAGUGUACACGGCACUCGAGCACAGGACUGUUUCAGUUUAUGAUGUGCUGAAUGUCGAUGAAGCCAGGAGAGCAAGUACAGAGAACCAAACACCAAAGAAAAAGGCCAAGCCUUCACCAGUAGAGGAGGGGAUAUUUGAAUCGGUUUAUGAAAACCUAUGAUUAUCUCUGUACAGAAAAUAUAUCUUUAAAAGAUGUAUAAAUUCUUUCAGCAUGAUAAACUGUUAGCUCAUGUGUGCAAUUGUCUGCCUUUUUUUGCAUAAAUAAACAAAUUUGUCUAUAUUUGAAGGGAUGUGAAUUUUAAAAAAAAUGUGUAAACUCUAUAAACACCAUAAACGUUCUCCUGAAGUGUACAAUUGUCUGCCACCAUUAUGAAUGAAUGAAUGAAAAGUAAAGAUUUUGUAUAUCUUUGUCAUUGUGGUAUGGAUAAUAUAUUUUGUGAAAAUAAAAGUUUAACCAAACAUGA